rnacentral:rRNA from 1 species
UAAUACGUAGGGGGCAAGCGUUGUCCGGAUUUAUUGGGCGUAAAGAGCUCGUAGGUGGUUCGGUAAGUCGGAUGUGAAAUCUCCAGGCUCAACCUGGAGGGGUCAUUCGAUACUGCCGUGACUAGAGUUCGGUAGGGGAGUGUGGAAUUCCUGGUGGAGCGGUGAAAUGCGCAGAUAUCAGGAGGAACA